UUAAAUGUCCUGGCUGUUCCUCAGUUCCUCAAAACUUCAAUCUCCUCCCGGAAAAAUGGAGACAGGGUACUGGGAGCAUGGAAGGGGCUCGCCCUGUGCCUGGCACACCUUCAUCCCCGCGUGUAGCACGGUGCUUGGCGCACAGCAGGUGCCUGACCGUUGUUUGUUGAAAGAAUGACUGCAUCUUCAAGCUCACGGUCCAACUCAGUAAAUGCCACGUACGGACCCAAGGUAGAUGAUCCGUCUUGUUCUAAGCAAGAUUCCACUCGCUGGGAUCUCAGCAUUGCACUGCAGGGUAGCAUUUACGAGGAAAUAAACAGCUCCCUGUAGGAGAUUUGGACUUUGUGUUAAUAAUAGGAGACACCUACAUAGGGCCUAUCGGGUGCCAGACACGGCCCCAAGCUCGUGAGACAGAUGACCUUUCAUUAACAAUGUUCUCGAGAGCCCGGCCCACCUGAGGCUACAGCCAUAGUCCAGCGGUCCAGUCUGCCGUCUUAUAACAUGACCCAGGGAGCAGUCAUUUAUUACUGGUAACAGAGGAAACGGUCUGCAGACUGCUGCCUUAACCAGCAACAACAAAGUAGGAUGGUUUCUACCUGUGAUGAUCCCUGGUGUGUAGUUGGUUAGUUUCCUGUUGAAGAGGAGGGAUUGCGUUGCCUGUUGGAAAGUGUUGAUCAUGUCAUGGAUCCUAUGGAAUAAUUCAGUACCUGAGGGGCCCGUUUCCUGGACUUUUCUUCAGAAUGACCUCUUAAAUAUCUUGGCCUUAAUGGAAAAUAUCUACGAUUACCAAUGAGCCCUUGAGGUCCUGGCUAAAGGCAUCUGGCAAAUCCCAUGUUUGCAAACUCACCUACUCAUCAACGUUCACUUGUAACCCCAAAGUCAGUAUACAGGCAGCGCUUUCAGAGUCGUUGGUGGACAUGAGCACAGUGGUGAGCGUUUUGAGUCGCCUGACUCACCUGUUCCCAGCUGAGGAACAGUGGCUCAGUAUUCGCUAACUCAUUAUUUGUGGCGACUGUCGAGACCAAGACCCCCGCGAAUAAUGAGAACUUACCGUGUGUAGGAACAGCCCAUUGUUCAGUGGGAGGAAAAAGAAAGGCCUGACCUCACGGAGAUUCUCCUGCAUCACGACCUUCAACUUCCCGCUCCCGGUCACGGCACUUACAGCCGAGACUGGUCAUCUCUGCACACAUUUUCAUGUCAGCCCACCUACCUCGCCAUCUGACCUGCAGCCCACCCGCUGCCACCUUGUGGACUGUCCCCAGUGCCCUUCUGGAGCUUCCCUCCAGGGGUUCAGGCUCCUCAGUGCAGCUCAGGGACUCUUACGGCUCGUCUGCGGAAGCCCCCAGGUUGGUUUUGCGGGGAGGGGCAGAGCGGAGGCUAAGACUCUCCAUCUGACCCUUGAAAACACGGCCACAGACCUGAGCGUAUGAUGCAGAACAGUGGAGCUCAAGCUGGCGGCACCUGGGAAUCACCAGCCCAGGCCCUUCCCAGGUUUUUAUUUAUUUUAAAAAAUUUAUUUAUUUACUUUUGGCUGCCGUGCCCGGCAUGUGGGAUCUUAGUUCCCCAACCAGGGAUCGAACCUGUGCCCCCUGCAGCGGAAGCUCGGAGCCCUAACCACCAGACAGCCAGGGAAUUCCCUUCCCAGGUCUUUAAACUAAAGUCUUGGGGGUGGGAUUCGGGGUCCCAAUCAUCAGAGACUUUCAGAGACUUCAAAUCUCCCCAGAUUGUACCAGUGAGCAGCCAAGAUGGGGAGCCACUGGGAAGGACCCCCAGCCGGACAUCCUGGGAGAAUAUGGGACAAAUCUGCCAGACAGAUGGAUUUCUGCUUCCCACCAGUGUUCCUAGUAAAACACGCUGGAGAGCCUUUCAUCUGACGCAUUUGGCACUGAUGAAUCAAACAGUUGUUUGAAGUGGGGACAUCAUAAAAAUGAUGUAAAUGUCCCUUAAACAUUUUACUAGAACCUCAACCUAAAGUACAUCAUUCAGGGAAUUCCCUUGCGGUCCAGUGGUUGGGACUCCGCGCUUCCACUUCAGGGCACAUGGGUUCGAUCCCUGGUCGGGGAAAUAAGAUCCUGCAAGCCAUGCGGUCAAAAAAUAAAUUGAAUAAAAUAAAUAACAUACAUCAUUCACCCCCACUUUCUCAUCUCACAGCAGGGCAUUUCCAAAUCACCUUGCUGAGGUGGCGGGAGCUGGAAUUGAACCCCAUUCUGUCUGACUGACAUCAAAGCCCAGCUCGGACCCUUAGAUGCCAAGUCUCCCUACGAAGUUCAGGCUUCUCAGGCUGAAACACCCGAGACAGAGCACAGCGCGCCCAGAAGCAAACGGAGAAAUUGAGGCCGAGUUUUCUCCCUUCCUUUACAUGUAUAAAGGAAGACCCAAGCUACCUGAACAAGAAAUUGUUAAAACUGAGACAAACAGUAAAAGCAGUAUCACCAAUAACUUAACUGGGAUCGGAAGCUUAUGAAAUUCACAGCAAAGUUAAUUUGUUCCUCAGUGAUACGCAAGAUUGUUCUCCAUGGUAAUGAGACCAAGACAGUCAGCUAUGCAUAAGAAAUUCUCUCCUUGGAAUACUACUCGGCCAUGAGAAAGAAUGAAAUACAACAUGGAUGGACCUAGAGAGUAUCAUACUAAGUGAAGUAAGCCAGACAGAGAAAGACAAAUAUCAUAUGAUAUCACUUAUAUGCGGAAUCUAAACUAUGACACAAAUGAACUUAUCUACAAAACAGAAACAGCCUCACAGACACAGAGAACAGACGUGUGGUUGCCAAGGGGAGGGGGAGGGAUGGAGUGGGAGAUUGGGGCUAACAGAUGCAAACUAGUAUAUGUAUGUACAACUGCAUCCCUUUGCUGUACACCAGAAACUAACACAACACUGUAA